rnacentral:rRNA from 1 species
GAAGUGCGAAUGCUGACAUAAGUAACGAUAAAGCGGGUGAAAAGCCCGCUCGCCGCAAACCCAAGGUUUCCUGCUCUACGUUAAUCGGAGCAGGGUGAGUCGGUUCCUAAGGCCAGGCUGAGAAGCGUAGCUGAUGGAAAUCAGGUUAAUAUUCCUGAACCGACGUUGAAUGCGAUGGGGUGACGGAGCAGCCAGAGUGGACCGGGUGUUGGAUGUCCCGGCUUCCGAGCGAUGGGUGCCUGCAGGCAAAUCCGCAGGCGUAUACCCAGGACGAAGGAUCGGGUCUUCUUUUGAAGACGAAGCCACUGGAAGCGCUUCCAGGAAAAACCUCUAAGCUUCAGUUCAACGGCGACCGUACCGUAAACCGACACAGGUGGGUGAGCUGAAUAUGCUCAGGCGCUUGAGAGAACUCGGGAGAAGGAACUCGGCAAAUUGACACCGUAACUUCGGAAGAAGGUGUGCCUUUGUAGCUUGACGGGAGAGAAACCCGGAGGGCGAAGAGGUCUCAGAGAAUCGGUGGCUGUAACUGUUUACUAAAAACACAGCGCUCUGCAAAGAUGAAAGUCGACGUAUAGGGCGUGAUGCCUGCCCGGUGCUGGAAGAUUAAUUGAUGGGGUGCAAGCUCCUGAUCGAAGUCCCAGUAAACGGCGGCCGUAACUAUAACGGUCCUAAGGUAGCGAAAUUCCUUGUCGGGCAAGUUCCGACCUGCACGAAUGGCAUAACGAUGGCCACACUGUCUCCUCCUGAGACUCAGUGAAGUUGAAGUGUUUGUGAUGAUGCAAUCUCCCCGCGGCUAGACGGAAAGACCCCAUGAACCUUUACUGUAGCUUUGCAUUGGACUUUGAACCGAUCUGUGUAGGAUAGGCGGGAGCCUGUGAAACCACAACGCCAGUUGUGGCGGAGGCGUCCUUGAAAUACCGCCCUGAUUUGUUUGAGGUUCUAACCUGGGACAGUCAUCCUGUCCGGGGACCGUGCAUGGUAGGCAGUUUGACUGGGGCGGUCUCCUCCUAAAGGGUAACGGAGGAGUGCGAAGGUACGCUAGGUACGGUCGGAAAUCGUGCUGAUAGUGCAAUGGCAAAAGCGUGCUUGACUGCGAGACCCACAAGUCGAGCAGAUACGAAAGUAGGUCAUAGUGAUCCGGUGGCUCUGUAUGGAAGGGCCAUCGCUCAACGGAUAAAAGGUACUCUGGGGAUAACAGGCUGAUACCGCCCAAGAGUUCAUAUCGACGGCGGUGUUUGGCACCUCGAUGUCGGCUCAUCUCAUCCUGGGGCUGUAGCCGGUCCCAAGGGUAUGGCUGUUCGCCAUUUAAAGAGGUACGUGAGCUGGGUUUAAAACGUCGUGAGACAGUUUUGUCCCUAUCUGCCGUGGGCGCUGGAAGAUUGACGGGGGCUGCUCCUAGUACGAGAGGACCGGAGUGGACGCACCUCUGGUGUACCGGUUGUCACGCCAGUGGCAUCGCCGGGUAGCUAUGUGGGGAAGAGAUAACCGCUGAAAGCAUCUAAGCGGGAAACUUGCCUGAAGAUAAGUCUUCCUGGAGGCUAGACCUCCCUAAAGAGUCGUUCGAGACCAGGACGUUGAUAGGAUGGGUGUGUAAGUGCUGUGAGGCACUCAGCUAACCAUUACUAAUUGCUCGUGAAGCUUGAUCCU